GUGCCAUCUUGGGAUGAACAGGUCCCUAACAUGUGAUAACCAUCUGUUUCACUUUGUCAGCUAUCUAUAUCUAUAUUUGGCUGAUCAUUUUAGGAUGGAACAUUU